rnacentral:lncRNA from 1 species
UGGGAGUGGGCAGGUGUGGUGCGAUGGCAAGAGAGGCGUGGGGUGCGGGACACCCUGCAGAUUGAGGGAGUCUCCGAGUUGCCAUCAGCUGGUGGAGAGGCCUUUCAUGGCUGCCAAGGGUCUCUCGAACUGAGGGACCACUUCCAAGAGCCAAGAAUGAGUCCUGCACGUAUUCUUAGGCAAUGAGCCUCCCGAUGGGCCAGUCCCCCGCCCACACUUCGGUGAGAAACGAAUGAUUCUACCAGUUCCUCACGGAGAAGUGCCAGGAGGGCUGAGCAAGGUUUCCGGGUGUCCUCCAGCAGUGGACAGUGGGCCUGGGAACAGGCUGGUGUGCCGGUGGCGGCACGUGUCCAGGCCUGUUGGCGAGACUUUUGUCACUGUGGAGAAAACGCAAACGCAGUAGUGGGAUGAGCAGAGCACUUGGGCUUAGAGACCCGCACGGGCUGUGUGAUCACAGACAGUCUCUUCUUCCAGCCUCCAUUGCACGAGCUGCUUUUGAAGAGUCCUUCCAAGUCUGUCCAGCCCCGGCCCAGGUCCCACUGCCCAGUCUGCUGGGGCUUGGGGUGUUCUGUCCGCAACUUGACAACCUGCUGACUGGUGGGAUGCAGAGAUGGGGAGAGUUUCUCAGAGGCCUCUUCUUUGCACACUCUUCGUCUUCGGCUCCUCUUGACCCAACAGGAAGAUCAGCAAAACUUGAGCUCCUGAAGCCAGACCAAGUGUCCAGAGUCCUCAAGACCUUUGGGUGCUGCAAGGGAGCAGAGUUGUCAUCUGCAUGUUGCAAUUGAACCGCUUUCUCCAGAACACUUGGGGCUAAGCUUGCCCCUUCUGAGGCAGGAAUUGGGAUUUCACUUCAUUUCCUGGAGAUUUAACCCUAAGCUGUGGUUGCCUUGUGAGUGGAAAAGACAAGGAUGCAUUGUCCAGUGGAUAAUGCCAGAAGUGAGGAUUGUAUUAAUACAAAAUGGGUUCUUGAGCUCUCCAUGCCAAGUGGGAGACUCCACUGUGUCCAUAAACUCAUAUUGAUCUGACUUGGAUGGAGCACUGUGUGUCCCUGUGGGUCCCAAAGUGUAUGUACCUCUGUGGAAGAUGAGAUUUUGCUUUUUGGAUGGAGGGCAACUGCUACUAUUAACUGCCACCCAAGGUCCGUCUAGUCAAAGCUAUGGUUUUUCCAGUAGUCAUGUAUGGA